GUCAAAGCUGAUUAACGUAAAAUGUGAAAUCAAUUCUUUGUACAAAUGUGACGGCUUUGCUGAAAAUAUGCGUCUGCAUCGUGUUUAGGGCUCAAUAAACUUUACAAAAACCAGACCAGAAAAUGUCUCUCAUGAGCACAAUUAUUCCAAGAGGAGACUGCAUGAAGACCAUUCCUACAGCAAAGUUGAAGUUCCAGAGAAAUAUACAAGAGUCGAAAGUGAUGCGCACAUUUACUCCACUCCUCGACGCCCUAGACGAAGAAGGCGUGUGAUUGUCACGAAAAACUCUCUGACAUCAAUUUGUGCAAGAAUUUACUCUGAGU